rnacentral:lncRNA from 1 species
UAACUAUCUUUCUAAAUUUGGGAAAGUUUUACAGUUAAGGGAAAUCGGAAGAUCUGUUUACCUAUUCCAGAAAUUUCUUAUUUUCCUAAUUCCUUUAAUUUAAUUGAUUUUCCUAUUUCUAAAUUUCCUAUUUUCCCACUUCUUUCUAUUGACUAGGUUUUCUAUAUUUUUUAUUUUUGAUCUAUUUUGGUGCUUAUAAAUAAGGUACCUUAAAUUACUUAUUUUUUAAAAUAAAAAGUAGUAUGGUUGUAUUGCUAUGAGCACCAAAUGUGCAAAACAUGUACAGUUAUUUACAGCUUAGUCCUCCAAACCAAAAAUAUUCCUGAAAGUCUCAAAGAAUACCGGAGGAUGACCCAUAAGCAAAAACUUUAGGGCAUUAAGUCAUCUAUUUUUCAGUACACCAAAGCCCUUUGUAUCAUCAAGCCCCUCAAAUGCUUUACUAUUCCUAACCUUCUGCACAGUCUACAUAAGGGUGGUAGGAAUCAUGUCUGCGGAAAUACAGCUGUCCCUAAGAUGCUCCCUUGCCCAUAUCUCAUCUUUAAUUGAGCCCGAACAAACCCAGCUAAUUCCCAAGCAACUGUAGACCAUGCACCACAGCUGAUAGACAGCAGGACACUGCAAGAGAAGGUAUCUGCAGCGCUCCUCAGCCUGUUUGCAGAGGGAGCAAGCAUUUACCAAAAUUAGUCCCCUUCUUAGCUUAUCUAUUGUCAGAAUGCACUCUCUGCCAGCUUCCCAAGCAAAGAAAGAACCCUUGGUGGCACCUUAACUUUCCAAAUCAGUUUGUAAGGGAAUGGCUGUUAACUUAUUUAUUAAGUAGACUAUUUAUGAGUAUUGUUCAAAUAUUGAGACAUUGUUUUGAUUAUUGAGAUCUGAGAUCUCCAAUUCUUGUUCUUAAUAUAGUUUUCUCUAAGUUUUCUUUUCAAGCUCUUUUUGUCCUACAUCACUUAUUUACCAUCAUUCACGUUUAGUUGAUUCCCAAUUCGCCACUACUUAUAUCUUUCCCAUAUUAAUUGCCACAUAAGUGGUGAUGUGGCAUUUAAAAGAGAUCUUAACAUAUAUGGUGACAGAAUGAUGAAAAUAAAAAAUUCAGCAAGUGCUCAAAAUAGAAUAACUGAAAGUCAAGAGAUAAAAUAAAAAGUAACCUAAUUGUUGAGUGCCUAUAUACUCUAUUUACCUUUUAAUGCUAUUCUUAGAAAGGAUGAUAUCCUAUGCAGAUAUAAGUAAGAGAAAAUAUACAUAUAAGUAGCGCAAAUAGAGUUGAAGAUAUAUUUCUUUGCUGAUUCAUUUCUAAAUAUCAUAAGUACAUGAUUCAAG